rnacentral:rRNA from 1 species
UACGUAGGGUGCGAGCGUUAAUCGGAAUUACUGGGCGUAAAGCGUGCGCAGGCGGUUUUGUAAGCCGGUUGUGAAAUCCCCGGGCUUAACCUGGGAAUGGCAUUCGGGACUGCAAGGCUGGAGUGCGGCAGAGGAGACUGGAAUUCCUGGUGUAGCAGUGAAAUGCGUAGAUAUCAGGAGGAACACCGAUGGCGAAGGCAGGUCUCUGGGCUGACACUGACGCUCAUGCACGAAAGCGUGGGGAGCAAACAGG